UACGGAGGGUGCGAGCGUUGUCCGGAAUCACUGGGCGUAAAGGGCGCGUAGGCGGCGCGGUAAGCGUGCGGUGAAAGUCCGGGGCUCAACCCCGGAUCGGCCGUGCGGACUGCCGGGCUUGAGCACUGUAGGGGCGGGUGGAACUCCGGGUGUAGCGGUGGAAUGCGUAGAGAUCCGGAAGAACACCGGUGGCGAAGGCGGCCCGCUGGGCAGUGACUGACGCUGAGGCGCGACAGCGUGGGGAGCAAACAGG
rnacentral:rRNA from 1 species